AAUUGUGCACUGCAGAGGCAGAAGAUGGUGUUUCGUUCAUCGUAAUUUGUUCGUGUUUUGAGAAGUUGAAGAUUAUUUCCUGUUCGCCGUUAAUCGUCCGUCUCCCGCACAGUAGGUGUGUUUGUUCCACUACUGUUGCUAACUCUAAUUAGAUCGCCGCGAGUCCGGAGGUAGAUGUUUGUCUGUUUAUACCCGGAAGGAAAACUAGAUUUUGAGUAUCGUUUGGAACAACAUACUGUGAAAUCGUUUUUCAUUCACUCCCGGAGGGCGUGAACAUAAGCUCAAAAUCUACCUGCCGUAGUAUGACGACAUACAAAUAGAGUAGAGUGGGGCA